GAUGCUUCUGGAUUCUGCCUGUUUCCCGCGAAAUAGCCGGUAUCCGCACGAGCUGAAUGUGCUCUUCGCUCACAACAUCGGUUUAUAAUGUGCAGAGGAUCGCAAACUGAACCGAGGGAAAAAACGUAAAUAUGAGCGUGAUAGUGACGCGGACACACCGGCUUGAAAGAACACCAAAACAAAACCUGUGCAUGCAGACUGUUCUCAGCGACUACAGUCAGUCAUCCACCACUGUGUUGCCAGCUCCUCCUCCGUCGUAGUCAAGGGGAGGGGGUUGAGUGCGUGAGAGCAGUCUAGGCACCUCCUACUAGAUGUCGUCCAUGACAGAAAACAACGUGAAAGCUGGUAGAAGUAGCUUUUUUUUUAAAUCAAGUACAGUAUGAAUACUGUCGUCUAUGAAGGUUUUUUUUAAUUCAACAAGAGGACCUGAGCCCUAGGACCAUGCAUCAGGACUACCUGGCCUGAUGACUCCUUGCUGUCCCCAGUCCACCUAGUCAUGCUGCUGCUCCAGUUUCAACUAUUCUGCCUGCGGCUAUGGAACCGUGACCUGUUCACUGGAUGUGCUACCUUGUCCCAGACCUGCUGUUUUGGACUCUCAUUCUACCCCACCUGCUGUCUCUAACUCUGAAUGAUCGGCUAUGAAAAGCCAACUAACAUUUACUCCUGAGCUGCUGACCUGUUGCACCCUCUCAACCACUGUGAUUAUUAUUAUCUGACCCUGCUGGUCAACUAUGAACAUCUUGGCCAUGUUCUGUUAAAAUCAACACCCGGCACAGCCAGAAGAGGACUGGCCACCCCUCAGAGCCUGGUUGCUCUCUAGGUUUCUUCCUAGGUUCUGGCCUUUUCUAGGGAAUUUUUCCUAGUAACAGUCCUUCCACAUUUGCAUUGCUUGCUGUUUGGGGUUUUAGGCUGGGUUUCUGUACAGCACUUUGGGACAUUGGCUGAUGUAAAAAGGGCUUUAUAAAUAAAUUGGCCUGUUAAGAGCGAUUGAAUAAGGCUUCAACCAAUGACAGUGAGAUGUCACAAAGGGAGAUGUCAAACCAAGUAGGCUGAAAGAGAACUAGUCUGAAGGCUGCUCAAAUGGCUUGGGCUGCAGGGAGCUCGUCUGCUGAUAAGUUGGCUGCUUGAUGAAGAAGGGUACGAUUGCAGCCGGCAAUUCAGGCAUGGUCAAGCUACGACUCUGGUACACAGGAGGGAGGCGGAAAUGCACCAUUAGGUUGGAUACCAACCGCCGAUAAAACCCACAGAAGAGGUUGGGGGUGACAACGGUAGCUAGCUAACUAGGACUAGUGACGCUGGUACACAGAAUGCAGCAUAGGUAGCAUAUCGGUAGACAGUGUACUUCACCCCGUGUGUCAGGCACUGUUCUCCCACAGUUCUGUUAACGUCAAGAGCAGGUGUUUUGCAGGCAGUAGGGAAAGACACUGGUGCUAGCUAGCUCAGAGAUCCCCGGUACACAGGAGGGGGAAGACACUGGUAGCUAGCUGUCUAGGAAACCGGUACAGUGAGAUUCACCUCCCCAAAAAUCAGAUACUUUUAUUUCCCUUUUGACCCACAGUUUAAUCACAGACAAAUCAAGGGAAAUCCAGAAUAUCAAGUGUCACAAGAGCAUGGAAAUGGCAUAUCAGAAAUAACUUGCACCGUAGUGAAUCCAUUAGCUCCUCCCCCCGUUCUGUCACUCACUGUUGAAGUGCUGCUCAUGUCAGCUCUGGGUCUGAGUUUACAUAGCAAUGGCUCCGUUUGGGCUGCUCUGCUCAAUGACAAGACAUGAGCAGUUAGCUGGUAACUACUCUAUCACCCUAAACUCCAACAAAACACAUUCUGUGAAAUAAUCUCUCCUGUUUUAUAUUUAACAAGGUUGAAGCACCUCUUAAACCAUGUUACUAUUUUAGUCAGAUAUGACAGUACUGAGCAGCAGAACACGAGUAAAUGGCUCAGCUUCAAAAUGUUAGUUAUGAAUUUAGUGAUUCCAGAGCCCUGCCAGUACCCUAGUUAUUGAUUGAUUUUUUUAUUUUUUAUUAAACAGGCCCUAUCCUGCCCUAAACCAAUGUACUCUAUAAUGUCAGGGUCCAUCGAGCUCGGGUAGCAGAGCACUAAUAGUUCGGAAGCUCGGCUGCUGGAUUGACUGGGGCUGGAAGCUAGUCUGGGGCUGCUCAACUGACUUAGGCUGUUGGUAUGGGUAGGCUACAAAACCAAAAACAGCAAAUGGUCAAUGUAAGCAUAAAUUAGAACAAUAUACCCCCAGUGCAGUAAGGAAGAAAACCUCAGUUUAACAUUUAAGCCACAACAUUUUAUUGAAACCACUCACCAUAAUCUAGUGGUAUUCUAGGCAAGUUAUAUCAAUAAAGAAUCAACAUUAAAUGUAGUUGUUGAAAAGACAUUACCUCAUUCCAUAUCCAAAGGAUUUUGCCAUUUUCUAGCAGAAGCUAGGUAGGGUGCGUUUAGACAUAUUUUUGAACAAGCACAUCAGAUCUUAUUCAGAGCUGAUCGGUCUAGAGACCAAUUAGUGAAAAAAGAUCAGAAUUCAGCUGCCUGUGUAAACACAACCUUACUGUACCCUGCUCCACCUUGACGGCUUACCACACAACCAAAACUAUCUGACUGCAAUGCUUGAUGCUGUGGGAAUGACUGGGGCUUUUAUACUGUUGCUGACAGCCAUGGAGGCGCCACAGUUUCACUAUCUGAUUGGAAGCAGGUGUGAUCAUUAGACAGGCUAGUUGAGGGCGAGGAGUGACAGGAGUGUUCAAUGAUUGCCUUAAUAUAGGCUGAAUUCUAAGACGCUGCCCUUGUAAGUGAUCUGAAAGGAUUGGAGGUGUAAGCAAUGGGUGUGUUUGAGCAGUAAGGCUAGCAAAGCCAAAUGUAGAUAAAAGUCGUCAAUAGAUGAAAGUCAGGGGAGGUAUCUCUACGACAGCUGAAAAUCGGACACUGUAGGGGUUUUCCAACAGCAAGGCUCAGAUCAACAUGGCAGUGUGAACAUAGCUUUUAUUGUUUAUAAAGGUUUUUCUUUAUAAAUGUCUUAAUAAAGUUGUCUAUACCCCCAUAUCACACAAUCACAAACUAAAAACAUAGGUCUCAAAUAUCACUUUAAUUUGUAUCCCCCGUAGUGUAGUGUAGUGUUAGAAUCGCAGCAAAGUUGGUUCCUGUUUCGGGUCACGUUCGCUUUGGGUCAGGCAAAAUCACCCAAAUGAUUGUUUGACAAAUAGUGCCUCUCACAAUGCAGGUGAUGGCUGCAUUGUACAGUUGGAAAAAAGCAACAUCGUCGACUUAAUCAAAAACUGCAUGACAUUUGAUCACAUGCAGGGCCGUGCACAGACAUUUGAUCACAUGCAGGGCCGUGCACAGACAUUUGAUCACAUAGAGUGCCGUGCACAGACAUUUGAUCACAUGCAGGGCCGUGCACAGACAUUUGAUCACAUGCAGGGCCGUGCACAGACAUUUGAUCACAUGCAGGGCCGUGCACAGACAUUUGAUCACAUGCAGGGCCGUGCACAGACAUUUGAUCACAUAGAGUGCCGUGCACAGACAUUUGAUCACAUGCAGGGCCGUGCACAGACAUUUGAUCACAUAGAGUGCCGUGCACAGACAUUUGAUCACAUGCAGGGCCGUGCACAGAUUUGAUCACAUGCAGGGCCGUGCACAGACAUUUGAUCACAUAGAGGGCCGUGCACAGACAUUUGAUCACAUGCAGGGCCGUGCACAGACAUUUGAUCACAUAGAGGGCCGUGCACAGACAUUUGAUCACAUGCAGGGCCGUGCACAGACAUUUGAUCACAUGCAGGGCCGUGCACAGACAUUUGAUCACAUGCAGGGCCGUGCACAGACAUUUGAUCACAUGCAGGGCCGUGCACAGACAUUUGGGAGGCAGGUGCUCAAAAUAAAAAAGGGCAGAAAUAAAAAAUAAUCGCCUUUCAUAAUUCAUUCACACGAAAUACAUAACAUACCAAUUGCCUCUGUAGCGAACAUUUCAUAUAGUCUUAUUUUCUGCAACAAUAUACUCACUCAUCACAAAUUGUAAGCAAGCCAGUGCCUCCUAGGCCUAGAGAGGACCAGAGAUUAUUGACAUCGGGAAGAGUGGCUAUCAGCUGAUCAGAGCAAAUGAUGAUGUAAAUAUGUUAGCUAGUGCUCUAGUUAGCUAUGCUGUCGAAACAAACUCGUUUUUACUUGAUUUGAGUUUGUUCUGCUCCUGACAUCUGCCUCUUACUAACAAUUGCCCCAUUCUUUGUCCCUAACAGUGAGAGAAAGAUCAAAAGUAGCCUCCUACCAGUAUUCAAGUGUCCCUGACCAGCGCCCACAGCCACUGCAUGCAAAUCAGACAAGUGCACUCUUGGAGGGUGGGGGAGGGGUAUUUUAGGUGAGCUUAUAAAAUGUGCUAAUUUGAUGUGCAAUUAGUUACAUUUCAAAUUCACAUGAAAAAUGAAAAAAAAAACAUAUAGGCUAAUUCAUAAAAUAAAUACAAAUCCAUCGAGUUGCGAAAGCAAUUUUUCCUAGGAGGGCAAGUGCUUGGCCACGAGUUGACCCCUAUCUAUGCACGUGCCUGAUCACAUCACUUUUUUCCAACAAGUCAGUUCAUAAAAUGUCUGCCCUGCUAGAGCUGCCCCAGUCAACUGCAGAUUGCUCGAUUGCUUCAGCCUUACCACUCAGCCAGCCAAGCCAGACUUCGCUGAGCCAGACUACCGAAGGGUUGUACAAUGCUCACAAUAGCACUAGCUAAAGGAAAGUGCUUAUUUCCAGUGUAUGAGUGAGUUUCCCAAUUGUGACCAGUAUAGCUCCUUAUGCUUCUUGUGUUUCCCCGUCAGCUGCUGUCACUGACUAGCAAUCUAGCUAGCUAGGUUGUAAUGGGGCCUGCUUCGCCUGGAAUAGCUAGCGAACAUUUCCAACGCUGUAGAGCUGUGUUUAUUACGCUCUUGUCCGGGACAAUAUUGACAAUCUGGAGUUCCAAUGCGGCAGUUGUUUGCUGGAUUACAGGAAUGAGGUGGUUAAAUUUAGCAAACUAAUCUAAAUUCUGCACAAAUUUAUGGGACAAUGGAAAUUGGAACUUUCUCAUUCUCAACUCCUAUGGCUGGAUGCCACUCGGGCCUGAUGGAAUUUUCCCUGCCUUGCCAUCUGUCACUAUCCAAAUGGCCUGCGCUAACUGGAACUUGCCUACCAAGGAAGUCAUCUCAAUCUGCUUCUCCUCCUCCAUCCUGUAGUGAAGUAGAUGUUGAACAGGAAGAAAAAUAUUCCAAUCAGCGCUGGUCCCAUGUCUCUACUCGUGAAAACCGAAGUCAGCGGCAAGCUACUAAUCGUAUGGGAGUGACUGUGAGAGGUCCGUAGCAGAUUGACAUGGUGGUGCCUGUGCCUUCAUCGUUGGGAUUGCCUGUGUCUGCGAUGGCUGUAAUGACUCCAACUACGCUGACUCCAGCAGCGGCUUUGCCAUUGAGUUUGGCUCCUUUCCCUCUCUCUGGAUCUGAUGGGGAACUGCCUGCUGUGGGAGGUCUCAACCUAUCGCUGGGAGCAGCGGGUGAACGCUAUCCAGCUUUUCGUGGGCCCGUGAAAGAUUCAACAAAUUGUGUGAAGGGGGAGGAAUGGGCGGAUUUCUCCAUUCCCUUCUCCGGCCGUUGUAUUGGGCAGUUCAAUGGUGAGAAAUGUCUCAGUCCCUGGAGUUAAAAAGUUGUGCCAUCCAGGAGCACGAGUACAGGACAUCAAUAAGCUGCUGACAAACAUUAUUAUAAUUGUUUUGGGGGGGGAUACUUUUUACCCCUUUUUCUCCCCAAUUUUGUGAUAUCCAAUUGAUAGUUACCGUCUUGUCUCAUCACUGCAACUCCGGUACGGUUUCGGGAGAGGGGAAGGUCGAGAGCCAUGCUUCUUCCAAAACACAACCCUGCCAACCUGCACUGCUUUUUGACACACUGCUCACUUAACCUGGAAGCCAGCGUCACCAAUGUGUCGAAACACUGUGCAACAGGCAACUGUGUCAGCGUGCAUGCACCUGGCCCACCACAAGGAGUCGCUAGAGCGCGAUGGGACAAGGACAUCCCAGCCGGCCAAACCCUCCCCUAUCCCGGACAAUGCUGGGCCAAUUGUGUGCCGCCUCAUGGGUCUCCCGGUUGUGGCCGGCUACGACAUAGCCCGGGAUCGAACCCAGGUCUGUAGUGACGCCUCAAGCACUGCGAUGCAGUGCCUUAGACCACUGUGCCAGUCGGGAGGCCGCUCCCAAAUAUUUUAAACCAGCAUCAGGAAAUUGAGUCUAUCAGAGUUCAUAUGGGAUUCAAUGACACUAGGAAGGGCAGCUCAGAACAGCUGAAGAUGGAUUUUAACAAACUGAUUGGGCCACUACUUGACAUCAACAAACGCCCCAUAAUAUCUGUCCCACUACCCUCCCUAAAUCAUGGCAUUGAAUGAUUCAGCAGACAUUUAGCCCUCCAUAACUGGCUACGAGCCAACUGCAGCUCUGUGGGUGUAACAUUUAACAGGAUACCUUCUGGAAACAAAGCUUGUUUUAUAAAGAGGAUGGGAUCCACCCAAAUCAUUUGGAUUCCUGGAUCCUUUCACAGAAUUAUAAGGCUGCGUUGAGACAAUGACUUAUCAAUGAAGCCCAGCUCAGAUAAUCCCUACCAUUGGGUCACUGAGUUGUGAUAAUGCUUCAGUAAAUGUACAUUAUCCCAGGGGCGUUGGAAGUAAUGUAAGUAACCUAAUUUAUGUGCCUCUUACUGCCCUGAAUGCCUCUGCUGAUCCCACAGCUAUUGUAUGCAGUAAUCAUGUACCUAUGAACCAGAGUUAUACUGUUCGCAAUGAGGUGGUAUGCCCUAGUAGGAAGUCCACUGCGUGCAGCUCACCCUGCACUAACAUCAAUAACAUGAGCAUGUCUACCUCUGCUAAGCUUCUCAGUAAAGCAAUGAAAACAAUCAAGCAUCCCAGAAAAGUACAUAUGUAGCUUAAGGGUGCCUAACAUUUUUAAUCUGACUGUAGAGGGACUGUUUGGGGUUUACUGCAAGUGGAUCCUUUGAUAUGUACAAUAUAAUGAGUAUGUAGUUUGAUGUAAUGUUUGACAAAUGGGAGAGAAAUAGCCAUCAUUAUUUCUUUAUCUGUUUUUGUUUAGAUGUGUGUUGGACAGCCGAAUGCUUUAUUUAUGGUCAACAUCAUCAUGUGCAACCUGUUGGGGCUAGGGGGCAGCAUUUUCACUUUUGGAUGAAAGGCGUGCCCAGAGUAAACUGCCUCCUACUCUUUCCCAGAUGGGAAUAUAUGCAUAUUAUUAUUACUGGUGGAUAGAAAACAAGUUUCUAAAACUGUUUGAAUUAUGUCUGUGAGUAUAACAGAACUCAUAUGGGGUGGCAGGGUAGCCUAGUGGUUAGAGCGUUGGACUAGUAACCGGAAGGUUGCAAGUUCAAACCCCCGAGCUGACAAGGUACAAAUAUGUCAUUCUGCCCCUGAACAGGCAGUUAACCCGCUGUUCCUAGGCCGUCAUUGAAAAUAAGAAUUUGUUCUUAACUGACUUGCCUGGUUAAAUAAAGGUAAAAUAAAAAUACAAAUAAAAUAAAUAUGGCAGACAGAAUCCUGAGAAGAAAUCCAAACAGAAAGUAAGAACUCAAUUUUGAAAACAGUGCCAUUUGAUGUCCAUCUUAGAUAUGGAUGAGCAUGCACUUCCUAGGGCUUCCACAAGAUGUCACCGUCUUUAGAUUCUGGUUACAUGAUUCAAGUAUAAAGGAGUGGCUCAUAAUAGCUCUUUGAGUGGGUGGUCUGGCAGAAAGCCUCGGUCUCAUUGCGCGCGGUCACGAGAGAGUGUUCUUGCGUUCCAAUGCGUUUCUUCAGACAAUGAAAUUCUCCGGUUGGAACCUUAUUGCUGAUUAAUGUUUAAAACACCCUAAAUAUGGAUUGCAUACAUCAUUUGUAACGGAACGUUUAGAGUUUUUGUCUGGAGGAAUUGCUCGUGCUUUUUGAGGAUUGAAUGCUGGGCUGAACAAGCUAACAACAAGUGACUAAAUGAUGGGCUUUUUGGAACUUUAUGGAACAAAUCAGUCAUUUAUUGUCGAACUGGGAUUCCUGGAACUGCCUUCUGAUGAAUAUAUUCAAAGGUAAGUGAAUAUUUAUAGUGUUUUUUGUAGCUUCUGUUGACGCCAAAAUGGCGGCUAUUUCUUUGGGUUCUGAGCGCCGUUCUCAGAUUAUUCCGUUCUCAGAUUCGUUUUAUUUUUUAAAUCUGACACAGCGGUUGCAUAGCGGAUACGUUUAUCUUUAAUUCUGUGAAAAACACUUUUAUCUUUUAUCAAUGUUUAUUGUGAGUAUUUCUGCAAAAUCACCGGAUGUUUUGGAAUCAAAACAUUACUGCACGUAACGCGCCAAUGUAAACUGAGAUUUGUUUUAUAUAUAUAUGCACAUUAUCGAACAAAACACACAAUACAUGUAUAACAUGAUGUCCUAUGAGUGUCAUCUGAUGGAAAUAAUCAAAGGUUAGUGAUUCAUUUGAUCUAUAUUUAUGCUUUUGUGACUGUGAAAAAUCGCUGUGUGUGUUUUUGAAUUUGGUGGUCAUCUAACAUAAAUAUAUGUUGUGUUUUUGCUGUAAAACAUUUAAAAAAUCGGACACGAUGGGUAGAUUAACAAGAUGUUUAUCUUUCAUUUGCUGUAUUGGACUUGUUAAUGUGUGAAAGUUAAAUAUUUCUAAAGAAUAUUUUUUUCAGCUGAAUGUUCCCUUUAGGUAACUCCUUGUGCCCCCUAGCCCCAACAUUAGAAACAAGGUGCAUGAAAUCAAUAAUUUGCUAGUAACAGAUGACAUUCAUAUUCUAUGAAACUACCUUAGGUAAUACCUUUAAGGAUACAGUGGUAGCAAUACAUGGUUAUAAGAGCUACAGAAAAUACAGAAAUACCAAAGGUGGAGGUGUUGCCGUUUAUAUUCUCUCCCGUUGGUGCCGGCCAUGAUCGAACAACACCGCAGGGCCUGUUUUUUUACCAAGUUGGAACUGUUGUGUGCCAACAAUUUGAUCCGCAUCCGGGAGGGGGAUGAAUGGAAGACUGCCUUCAGCACGAUGUCUGGUCAUUACGAGAACUUGGUGAUGCUUUUUGGAUUAGCCAAUGCUCUGUCAGUGUUCCAGGAAUUUGUCAACAAGGUGUUCUGGGACAUGCUUGGAGGUCGUGUAUAUCGAUAACAUCCUGGUCUACUUUGCAGGAUCACAUCGCCCAAGUCCGAGAAGUCCUGGAAUGCCUCCUGGCCAACCACCUCUACAUCAAAGCGGAGAAGUGUCAAUUCCAUCAGGAGGAUGUCUCCUUUUUGGGUUACCAGAUCAGCCCACAAGGAGUCAUGAUGGAUGAGAAGGAGGUGGAUGCUGGCUGUCAUGUCAUGGGUAGUCCUUGGGAAGUUGGCGUGGAAUCCUGCAGCAGACAAAGCCUUCUUCCUACUGAAGGCACAUUUCACCUCCGCCCCGUUGCUCAAACAUCCAGAUCCUACACUGCCCUUUAUGGUGGAGGUGGAUGCUUCAGAAAGAGGACUACGAUGUUGGCUAUCGGGAGCUCCUGUCAUCGAAGUUGACAUUAGAAGUGUGGAGACACUGGCUGGAGGUUGCCCAGGACCAAUUUAUCAUCCUCACCUACCAUCGGAACCUGGAGUACAUACGGACAGUGAGGCGACUGAACCCGCACCAAGCCAGGUUGCUGAGGCACUGUUCCAGCAGGUCUUCCAGCACUAUGGCCUUCCGGAGGAUAUCAUCUCCGAUCGUGGCCCCAAAUUCACAUCACGUGUAUGGAAGGCCUUCAUGGAAAAGCUGGGGGUCAAGGUCAGCCUCACUUCCAGGUCCCGGCCUCAGUCUAAUGGGUAGGUGGAGAGGAUGACCCAGGAGCUGGGGAGUUUUCUAAGGAGCCAUUUCCAGGACCGGCAAGGGAUGAAUACGCCCAGAAUUCAUUGCGACACUCCUCCAUCAGGCUGACUCCCUUCCAGUGUGCUCUGGGUUAUCAGCCAGCCCCUGGCUGUGUGAUCUUCGAGCCAGACCGAAGUUCUUGCGAUGGACAAGUGGUUCAGGCAUGCAGAAGAGGUAUGGAACGAUGCCCACGUGAGACUCCAGCACGUCGUCCAGUGUCAGAAAGAGCAGGCGGAUCGCCACCGCAGUGAGGCUCCCAUGUUCCAUCCUGGUGAUCGUGUCUGGCUCUCCACCAGGAACCAUCCAUUCCGCCUGCCCUGCCGGUGGUUCCUGGUUCCCUUGCUGAUGCCAUCCCACACGACACCCCUCCACCUCCCUUCGACAUCGAGGGGAGCCCCUCCUGUGCCAUCAGCAGAUCCAUCCUAGACUCCCGACAUCAUGGGGGUUGGCUCCAGUACCUGGUGGACUGAGAGAGGACCAGCCCGCUACUCGCCCUCGGGGCCGUUCCCCUGGCCGGUGGAGUCCAUCGGGAGUGUGGGGAGGUACUGUUACAUCUACUCCCGCUCCGGCGCUCGAAGUCUCUGGUCUACUAACCACCGAACCUGGCAACCUGCGCCCCAUCAUCAGUCACACCUGAACUUCAUUACUACCUUCAUUACUUACUAAACACAGCAACAACAAAAAAAAUCCUAUUUCAUGACCCUGUCUUUCAAAGAUAAUUCGUAAAAAUCCAAACACAGAUCUUAAUUGUAAAGGGUUUAAACACUGUUUCCCAUGCUCCAUAUACAAUUAAUCAACAUUCACCUGUGGAACGGUUGUUAAGACACUAACAGCUUACAGACGGUAAGCAAUUAAGGUCACAGUUAUGAAAACUUAGGACACAAAAGAGGCCUUUCACUGACUCUGAAAAACACUAAAAGAAAGAUGAGUCUGCAAGGAGGCAUGAGGACUGCAGAUGUGGCCAGGGCAAUAAAUUGCAAUGUCCGUACUGUGAGACGCCUAAGACAGUGCUACAGGGAGACAGGAUGGACAGCUGAUUGUCAUUGCAGUGGCAGACCACGUGUAACAACACCUGCACAGGAUCGGUACAUCCAAACAUCACACUUGCGGGACAGGUACAGGAUGGCAACAACAACUGCCCGAGUUACACCAGGAACACACAAUCCCUCCAUCAGUUCUCAGACUGUCAGCAAUAGGCUGAGAGAGGCUGCACUGAGGGCUUGUAGGCCUGUUGUAAGGCAGGUCCUCACCAGACAUCACCGGCAACAACGUCGCCUAUGGGUACAAACCCACCGUCGCUGGACCAGACAGGACUGGCUAAAAGUGCUCUUCACUGACGAGUCGCGGUUUUGUCUCACCAGGGGUGAUGGUCAGAUUCGUGUUUAUCAUCGAAGGAAUGAAUGUUACACCAAGGCCUGCAGGCUCAUCCUGACAUGACCCUUCAGCAUGACAAUGCCACCAGCCAUACUGCUCGUUCUGUGCGUGAUUUCCUGCAAGACAGGAAUGUCAGUGUUCUGCCAUGGCCAGUGAAGAACCCGGAUCUCAAGCCCAUUGAGCACGUCUGGGACCUGUUGGAUCAGAGGGUGAGGGCUAGGGCCAUUCCCCUCAGAAAUGUCCGGGAACUUGCAGGUGCCUUGGUGGAAGAGUAGGGUAACAUCUUACAGCAAGAACUGGCAAAUCUGGUGCAGUCCAUGAGGAGGAGAUGCACUGCAGUACUUAAUCCAGCUGGUGGCCACACCAGAUAUUGACUGUUACUUUUGAUUUUGACCCUCCCUUUGUUCAGGGACACAUUAUUCAAUUUCUGUGAGUCACAUGCCUGCCUCAGUUGUUGAAUCUUGUCAUACAAAUAUGUACACAUGUUAAGUUUGCUGGAAAUAAAUGCAGUUGACAGUGAGAGGACAUUUAUUUUUUGCUGAGUUUAUUUAUCUAGCACUCUGUUUUGUCAGUCAUCGGGUAGUAUUGUUUGUUUCCACGUCAGAUGUUUCUCUUGUUUUGUAUCGUUUCAUAUUCAUUAUCAUUAAAUUCACUA